rnacentral:rRNA from 1 species
GACGUAGGGUCCGAGCGUUGUCCGGAGUUACUGGGCGUAAAGGGCGCGUAGGCGGUUUCUUACGUUCCACGUGAAAGCCCCUGGCUCAACCAGGGAGGGUCGGUGGGAAACGGGGGAAACUGGAGGCAGCGAGAGGCUGGUGGAAUUCCCGGGAGUAGUGGUGAAAUGCGUAGAGAUCGGGAGGAACACCGGUGGCGAAGGCGGCCAGCUGGCGCUGACCGUGACGCUGAGGCGGCCGAAGGCAUGGGGAGCGAACGGG